UGCAUUCUGCUGUUGCCAGGAAAUACUGGAAGUUUUACUCGUUGGGUGGACAACUGGAGUUUUCAAAUUACAUUGAAUGAUUUUCUCUGCCUUUCUUAUGUAAGGGGAAACAUUUUUGCUGUACAAAUGUCAGUUCCAAAUUUCAAAAUCUGAAUCCUACAGGAUGGAGUUCGGCUUGUACUCCACUCUGUGUCCUUCAAGAUGACGGCUCGAGGGAUGGCAAGGACAUGCUGUGGAGGAAGGUGUGGCCAGAAGGUGAACAUGUAAUCCAUAAGGCAGGCUCAAGGACGAUUGCGAGGGUAAGAAAAGAUGAUUAGAAGGGUCUUGACUAUGAAAGUAAUUUUUGAUGGAUUUUUGAAGCCAAGUUGGAUCUUGUCCUCGAGUGGCUCCUGGUCUAGGGAGGAGACAAGGAGCAGGACAACAGUGACAAUACAGGAUCAUGGUGACAUGUGCAUGGGGGUGUGUUGGAACACAGAAACUGCGCCCUCCUCAGUGAAGCUGAUGUCUACCUUGAUACAUUGAUAUAUGGCCAGGUUUUAGGAUGGCUUGAAAUUCAUUACAUCUAGAAGAAACUCUGAGCAAGGUGGCAUCAACAAAAUUAAAUCAUCUGCUUGGAAGCCAGGGGCCAGCUUAUUAGAUAAUGGACACUAACCUGUGCACAAUGGAUUGAGAGUCAAUUUAUAUUGUUAAGUGGCCAAGGAAUAUAUCAUUUGGGGAGAAUUUUUAAGAAUAUAUUUUAAAAAAUAUCUGGUAAGUAUAAAAAUCAAGUAAAGAAGGUUUAGUUUGAAUUUUUACUUUGUAGUUUGCUUAUUGAAUGACCUUUUGGGAUAAGUAUUUUUCUCUUCCACCCUAGUCUAGUCUAUGGACUAGAACCCAAAUAGCCCCCGCCUUUCUACUCCUGGACACCCAUGGAGUCAUAGUAAACUUAAUAUACUUCCCCCCAUCGCCCAGCAAAUGUGGAGGCAUUAGGAGUCCCUGAAGCAUCUUCUAUGUGCUCCCAUGUAUUUUUUUUUCUUAUCCUUCCCUCUGCCAUUGUCCUUCUUGCUCCCUACACUGACCACCAGAAGGAAAUAUCUAGUAGCCGCUGUUGCAGGCAUUCUGGGAGACAGUGCAGCAUCCAGACUUGGUG
rnacentral:lncRNA from 1 species